AGAGUUUGAUCAUGGCUCAGAACGAACGCUGGCGGCGUGGAUAAGACAUGCAAGUCGAGCGCUGAUUUCAGGGUAGCAAUAUUCUGAAGUCGGAGCGGCGCAAGGGUGCGUAACACGUGGGUAAUCUGCCGUGAAGUUUGGGAUAACUUGCUGAAAGGCGAGCUAAUACCGGAUGUGACCGCUGGGAGGCAUCUCCCGGUGGUUAAAGUUGGGGACCGUAAGGCCUGACGCUUCAUGAUGAACCCGCGGCCUAUCAGCUAGUUGGUGAGGUAACGGCCCACCAAGGCUAAGACGGGUAGCUGGUCUGAGAGGACGACCAGCCACACUGGAACUGAGACACGGUCCAGACACCUACGGGUGGCAGCAGUCGAGAAUUUUUCACAAUGGGCGCAAGCCUGAUGGAGCGACGCCGCGUGGAGGAUGAAUGGCUUCGGCCCGUAAACCCCUGUCAUUCGCGAUCAACCGUUGUUAUUUAAAAGAUGACAGCCUGAUAGUAGCGGAAGAGGAAGGGACGGCUAACUCUGUGCCAGCAGCCGCGGUAAUACAGAGGUCCCGAGCGUUGUUCGGAUUCACUGGGCGUAAAGGGUGCGUAGGUGGUGAGGUAAGUCGGAUGUGAAAGCUCGGAGCUCAACUCCGAAAUGGCAUUGGAAACUACCUUGCUAGAGGGUUGGAGGGGGGACUGGAAUACUUGGUGUAGCAGUGAAAUGCGUAGAUAUCAAGUGGAACACCAGUGGCGAAGGCGAGUCCCUGGACAACUCCUGACACUGAGGCACGAAAGCUAGGGGAGCAAACAGGAUUAGAUACCCUGGUAGUCCUAGCCGUAAACGGUGCACGUUUGCUGUAAAAGGAAUCGACCCCUUUUGUGGCGUAGCCAACGCGUUAAACGUGCCGCCUGGGAAGUACGGUCGCAAGAUUAAAACUCAAAGAAAUUGACGGGGGCCUGCACAAGCGGUGGGAGUAUGUGGCU
rnacentral:rRNA from 1 species